GGUGCAAGCGUUAUCCGGAAUCAUUGGGCGUAAAGCGCCUGUAGGUUGUUUAAUAAGUCUGUUGUUAAAGACUAGGGCUCAACCCUAGAAAAGCAAUGGAUACUACUAGACUAGAGUAUGGCAGGGGUAGAGGGAAUUUCUAGUGUAGCGGUGAAAUGCGUAGAUAUUAGAAAGAACACCGGUGGCGAAAGCGCUCUACUGGACCAUUACUGACACUCAGAGGCGAAAGCUAGGGUAGCAAAAGGGAUUAGAUACCCCUGUAGUCCUAGCCGUAAACGAUGGAUACUACAUGUUGUAUUUAUUUUACAGUAUGGUAGCUAACGCGUUAAGUAUCCCGCCUGGGGAGUACGCUCGCAAGGGUGAAACUCAAAGGAAUUGACGGGGGCCCGCACAAGCGGUGGAGCAUGUGGUUUAAUUCGAUGCAACGCGAAGAACCUUACCAGGGCUUGACAUACUACAGAUCUUUUUGAGAAAGAAGAGUGCCUUCGGGAAUGUAGAUACAGGUGGUGCAUGGCUGUCGUCAGCUCGUGUCGUGAGAUGUUGGGUUAAGUCCCGCAACGAGCGCAACCCUUAUUUUUAGUUACCAAUUCGUUGGGUUCUCUAGAAAGACUGCCGGUGACAAACCGGAGGAAGGUGAGGAUGACGUCAAAUCAGCAUGCCCCUUAUGUCCUGGGCUACACACGUGCUACAAUGGCUAAGACAAAGAGUUGCGAGCUCGCGAGAGUAAGCUAAUCUCAUAAACUUAGCCUAAGUUC
rnacentral:rRNA from 1 species